UACGUAGGGGGCAAGCGUUGUCCGGAAUCAUUGGGCGUAAAGAGCGUGUAGGCGGUUCGGUAAGUCGGCUGUGAAAGUCCAGGGCUCAACCCUGGGAUGCCGGUCGAUACUGCCGGACUAGAGUUCGGAAGAGGCGAGUGGAAUUCCCGGUGUAGCGGUGAAAUGCGCAGAUAUCAGGAGGAACACCGGUGGCGAAGGCAGGUCUCUGGGCAUUAACUGACGCUGAGGAGCGAAAGCAUGGGGAGCGAACAGG
rnacentral:rRNA from 1 species